rnacentral:lncRNA from 1 species
CACAGGAUGCAAGGAUUUCAGACAGGUUUCUGGAGCUGCAGGUAAAAGUUAGUUCCUAGUUUCUCUCUCUCUAAAUUUCUCUCUUGAGUUAAAGUAUGCUUCCAUUGCAGGAUCAGUGACCAAGAUUGGACAGGCUUCCAUGAAUCAAAACUUAAUGGUGGUUGCCACCAAGUUCUGUUCACUUCUUUUUGACCUAUAUCCAAGAGUUCUUUGCGAAAGCGAGCCUUGAAGAUUGCCGCCUCCAAGUCCCGUUUCGAACUCCUUUAUUUGAGUCUUUAUGAAUCAAGCCUUAAUGGUUUUAGCCACCAAGUCCUGUUCAGACUCAUCCUAAUUAAACAAUAGAUCUUUCUUAUAUAUUUUUUUUAUUAUUUAUUAUUAUUUAUUUAUUUAUUUUUUUAUUUUUUAUAGAACUAAUCUAGGGUCGAAAUCUAGAGAGAUAAAAUGUGAUAAAUAAUCUAAACCAGGCGUUACCUUCCAGACCUAUCUGAAGAAUCCGAUCCCAUGUAUACCAAGCCCCAAGAUAAGCGGUUAUGUCAGGUUUAGUGUUGGAAAUCAGCUUUGGUUACUUCAUACGGUUCAAGGCAAGUGUGUAGUUGAUAGGUUGAUCUGUUUUAACAUCUUUAGUGCUAUCUGCAAUCAGUAAAUCUAAAAUGGUGCUAAAGAUUGGUUAGAUAUUCAUGUUUAAACCAGUAUAAGAUUAUAGUCCCUAUUUUCGAUAGCUAAGCAUAAUUUAUUUGAAAUUCCUUUUUACGUAAGAAUAAAAUAAAUUAUAUCAGUAAAUCUCCCCCCAGACUUAAAUUACACUGUCCCAGUGUAACUCAGCCGGAGGUAUGAUAAAAAGUAAAUGAUGUACGAAAUGUAACAAGUAGGUAAGAUACAUCUG